AACUGCCUUUUUUCAGUUUCCCUUUUGUGUUGGUAUUGGUUUUAAUACUAGCUUCUGUAGUUCAGGUUAUAUCACGACUUCAGCUUACCGACAUCAAUUCACCUAUUCUCACGCAUUCAUCCUCAAAUAACGAAAAUGACUUUUUCUCUCUUUCUUUGCCCCUUCUUAUUAUCAUCUUUCUCUCAUCCUCAUCUACAUCACCUCUCUAACCGUGAUAGUGUUUUGGUAUUUUAUAUCCAAAGUGUGUGUGUGUGUUUAUUUGUAUGGUUAUUUGUGUGACUCAUAUUCAUCCAAAAUCCAAUAUAAGCCCUCAGAGAGAAAGAGAGAAAUAAGAUGAUUCAUCCUCAGUCUUUUCUCUUCAUCAUCAUCUCGUGUUAGUCAUAUUAUGAGUCUCUAUUUCAUUCCUAUGCACAGUUAUUCAGCUCAGUUUUCAUCCUUAUUAUUCUACCUCAGUGCCAUCUAUCAACUCUUAUACUAACCUUUUGCAUUAUUUUGGCAAAUUAUUUGAAGCCAAGUCUUAAUGUUUAUUUCACAAAAUAUUGUUUUAUUCAAGUUAAUCAACAUCUUUAUUAUUUAAUUUCUCUUGUUUAUUGUGACUUUAUUAUUGUGAUUACCUUUGACAGUAAAAUAAUUGUGUUUAAUACGAAAUGUGAAAACAUUUGUGUUUCAUUUUUGCUGGUUGUUUGAAAACGAAUGACGUUGUUUUAGGUUUUAAUUUUUAAAAUUGUCCUUAGCCAAUUAGUUGACUAUGCAUUAGACGAACCUGAUUUUUAAUUGGAAACAUGAAUUGUCGGUUAGGCUGCCGAUAUAUUCAUUUGUUUGAUAUUGUGAAAGUGAUAGUUCAACGUCAAGGCCGGUUUCUUUUUGUCAUUUGAUUGUUUUCAAAGAGUGUUCAUUGAAAAAAAAGAUGCCUUCGAUUUUGGUCUUCUUGGACCUGAUGCUUACAAUGUCAUCAUCGAUUCGUGUAAAAAAGAUUUAGAAAUAAACAAAGAAGCUCGGAAUCAAAUAAUGGCCCAAUGUAUCUACCCAACAAUAAGAGCGUCUUCCAUCAAUUUUCCGCAUGACUUCAUCGAAACCUUGCAAAGGAUUGAGGUUGAUUGCUGGGAUAGACGAGGUGAUUUUUGUAAUCAAUCAGAAAGGAUACGAGCUAAUCACUGUGCAAUUCCUGUUUUGUCAUCAAAAGGAUUCAGAUAUCAUCUUUUCUGGCAAUCAAAUAAAUACCCAAUUAGAGCUGCUUUCAGUGAGAAAAAGGAAUGUAUUGCUGAAGCGAUCGAGGAGGCAAACGAUUAAAAAUGAAAAACCAAAUAUAGCCGAACGAUUAAUACAAGAUUAUCUGCUCAAUAUUUGUUUCAACAGUUGGUUUAAAGUGAUUGAAAUCAAAUUUAACUUAUUUCGUACGGAUUUUCGUUUCCUUACAAGACCUUUAAAAGAUCAGAUCAUUAUGUGUGAACAUUUUAUAUACCUUUAAAUAAUCUUUCAGAAACUAUCUUAUCUCUAUCAUUUCUACCGCUAGAAAACCAAGAAUGUAAUAAUUAUUUCUUAUUUUAAAUGAUUAAAUCAUUUUCACUUAUUUUGACUAAA